rnacentral:snoRNA from 1 species
ACGAGUUUGCUUGGACAGGAUCUGUUCUAUAGGAUCGUACCAAGGUGCAUAAAGCUUUCUUUGACUUGGAUGAUGAUGCCAUGUU